rnacentral:rRNA from 1 species
UGGGGAAUAUUGGACAAUGGGCGAAAGCCUGAUCCAGCCAUGCCGCGUGAGUGAUGAAGGCCUUAGGGUUGUAAUGCUCUUUUUGGCGGGGACGAUAAUGACGGUACCCGCAGAAUAAGCCCCGGCUAACUUCGUGCCAGCAGCCGCGGUAAUACGAAGGGGGCUAGCGUUGUUCGGAAUUACUGGGCGUAAAGCGCACGUAGGCGGAUCAGCAAGUCAGGGGUGAAAUCCCGGGGCUCAACCUCGGAACUGCCUCUGAUACUGCUAGUCUAGAGUCCGGAAGAGGUGGGUGGAAUUCCUAGUGUAGAGGUGAAAUUCGCAGAUAUUAGGAAGAACACCGGUGGCGAAGGCGGCCCACUGGUCCGGUACUGACGCUGAGGUGCGAAAGCGUGGGGAGCAAACAGGAUUAGAUACCCGUGUAGUCCCUGAGCGGGCUGGCAAGGCGCAU